UAGUUGGUUUCAAUCCUUAGAACAACUUCUUCCAACUUUUCUGCACAAAUUUCUGACUGCUAGUAUCGCAGAAUCGUCUCCAGUACCUUUAUUUGAUUUAUUGUUGAUUGCUGGUGUAUGAUGCCUGUUUCAAACUCUUGGAUAUAUUAUGGUGGCAGGUUUUUAAUGGUACUAGUUACCAGCAAUUAAAUUUGGAAUCAAGAACACCUGUUACCAGUGUGGUUUGAACUGACAAACUAAGUGUUGACGGGUUAGUCAUCUUGGUACAUACGACAGUGGAAGAUCCCCUUUCAUGGUAG
rnacentral:lncRNA from 1 species